rnacentral:rRNA from 1 species
GACGAACGCUGGCGGCGUGCUUAACACAUGCAAGUCGAACGGAAAGGCCCUGCUUUUGUGUGGUGCUCGAGUGGCGAACGUGUGAGUAACACGUGAGUAACCUUCCCUUGACUUUGUGAUAACUUCAGGAAACUGGGGCUAAUACCGGAUAGGAGCUCCUGCUGCAUGGUGGUGGUUGGAACGUUUCGGCGGUUGGGGAUGGACUCGCGGCUUAUCAGCUUGUUGGUGGGGUAGUGGCUUACCAAGGCUUUGAAGGGUAGCCGGCCUGAGAGGGUGACCGGCCACAUUGGGACUGAGAUACGGACCAGACUCCUACGGGAGGCAGCAGGGGGGAAUAUUGCACAAUGGGCGGAAGCCUGAUGCAGAAACGCCGCGUGCGGGAUGAAGGCCUUCGGGUGGUAAACCGCUUUCGCCUGUGACGAAGCGUGAGUGACGGUAAUGGGUAAAGAAGCACCGGCUAACUACGUG